GACGGAGGAUGCAAGUGUUAUCCGGAAUCACUGGGCGUAAAGCGUCUGUAGGUGGUUUAAAAAGUCCACUGUUAAAAAUUGAAGCUUAACUUCAAAGAUGCCGUGGAAACUUUUAAACUUGAGUAUGAUAGGGGUAGAGGGAAUUUCCAGUGGAGCGGUGAAAUGCGUAGAUAUUGGAAAGACCACCAAUGGCGAAGGCACUCUACUGGGCCAUUACUGACACUGAGAGACGAAAAGCUAGGGGAGCGAAUGGG
rnacentral:rRNA from 1 species